rfam:Thalassiosira oceanica strain CCMP1005 To_g08161, whole genome shotgun sequence.
CAACAGGAUUUUCUAAAAUCCACCCCGCAUUCAAAGAUACUGAAUCU